UUCAAAGCUUUUUCAUCCAGUAAUAAUAUUAUGUUUAGAAAGCAACUUUUUAUUUUAAUAUGACUAGCAGGCCGUCGAUAUUUAUACCGGAAAAGUUGAAUUAAAAGAAAGCUUUCCAGAAUGGACCCCCAAAGAGCAUUUAUGGCACAUAGUCGGUUUUAUAAAAAACUUAUUUUAUGAUAUUUCCUCUGCAAGCGCUUUAAAUAUGGCUGCUCAGACAUUAUUCUUAGACUAUCCUACUGAGUUUUCACAACAAUGUCGUUUGACUGUUCAAUCUUCUCUGGAUUCUCUAUACGAUAAGC